UACGUAGGGGGCGAGCGUUGUCCGGAUUUACUGGGCGUAAAGGGCGCGUAGGCGGUAGCACAAGUCAGUUGUGAAAUCUCCGGGCUUAACUCGGAAAGGUCAACUGAUACUGUGCGACUAGAGUGCAGAAGGGGCAACUGGAAUUCUCGGUGUAGCGGUGAAAUGCGUAGAUAUCGAGAGGAACACCUGCGGCGAAGGCGGGUUGCUGGGCUGACACUGACGCUGAGGCGCGAAAGCCAGGGGAGCGAACGGG
rnacentral:rRNA from 1 species